rnacentral:piRNA from 1 species
UGCUCCUCCUUUAUGCCAAACAAGUUC